rnacentral:rRNA from 1 species
AUGCUGGCAUGGUCUCCGAUAGCCGCCUCCUUAUGGAGACCAUCAUCAGGGAUCACUGCAACAUCUUUGAGGGCGUGGACCUCUCUCGUUGACACCGGCGGUGCCCAUGGUGCCACGGCGGAAGCCAUCGCUAAGGCGCUCCCCCACAUCAACUGCACCGUCUUGGACCUCCCACACGCGAUUGCGGGGGCACCUGCCAUCAGUAAUGUUCAGUUUGUUGCUGGCGAUUUGUUUGAGUACGUGCCACCAGCAGACGUUGUUCUACUCAAGUGGGUUUUAUGCUUGUGGCAAGAUGAAGAUGCUGUCAAGGUACUACGACGGUGCAAAGAAGCAAUAAUCAGUAGAGGUGCCAAAGGGAAGGUGAUAAUCGUCGAAGUCGUGAUAGACUCCAGCAUGUCACGGGAUGGUGUUCUUCUUAGGGAGACACAAGUUCUAUUUGAUGUCCAGAUGAUGCAUGUUGAUGGGGGCGAGCGAGACGAGAAGCAGUGGAGGGAGAUUUUCCUUGAAGCCGGAUUCAGUGAUUACAAGAUCACUCCAAUGCUAGGAUUUCGAUCCAUCAUUGAAGUGUACCCUUGA